UCUAAAUAAUAGUUUUGUAUUCCUAUUAGGUUUAGGAGAUCAAAACCCUUAUAAAUAAACCUUUAAUUCCAUGUAUCAAAGUUUAGUUUUUUAUCAAAAUUCAGCAGAGUUAAUUUUUUUUUCUCUCAAAUACUUUGAGUGUGUGUUUUCGUUGAGUUUCACAUUGAGUCAGGUGGUAUCAAAGUGAGGAAAUCGCCCAAUCAAGAUGGUUAACCUUGAUGGAGGUGGCGAUAAUAGUAGUUCUCAAGACGGUGAUUGAGAAACUGAAGCCCUUAACUAUAGGGAUGAAACAUUGCAACAACAAAAAUUGGAGCAAUGUCUGGAGCAUCAUAUUGAUCUCAGAUUCAGGUGUAUAGAGAGACGCUUUGAAGAAAUUGCAAUUCGUUUUGGUGCCUUGAGAAUUAAUACAAGCAUAGAUCAGAAUAAUGAUAGAAGGCUAAGAGAUGGUGCAACUCAGGGCGACCCUGUCAACAGACUUUUUCCUGCAUGUAGGCAAUAUGUCUAUGAUGAAGAUUUAGAGGAGGAAAAAGACUAUAAAUCAAUCAAGUUUAAUAGGCAUCGAUGGAAUGGUAAAUAUAAGAGCAAAGGCGUAUAUGGGUAUAAUGAAAGGGAAAGCAAGGAUUAUCAGUUGAAAAUUGAUAUUUCUAAUUUUUAUGGGAAUCUCAACAUAAAAGAAUUCUUAGAUUGAAUGAUAAAUGUGGACAGAUUCUUUGACUAUAUCAACAUAGCACCUGAAAGGGGGGUCAAAUUAGUGACAUGCCGAUUAAAGGGUGGUGUUUCUGUAUGACUAUAAUCAAUGAGAGCAAGAGAAGCAAAGGGACCAAUCUGAAUGUGGUAGGUACAUGAUGAAAUACUUGUUGCAAAUUGUCAAUGGGGAAAAAAAAAUCUUGUGGAAACCCUUA
rnacentral:misc_RNA from 1 species